UCCACGUGGGUGUUAAAAGUGCUGAUUCAGCACUUACUGUUCGAAAGUUUAUUGUGGAGUAGCAGUGAAGUAAUUUUAGUGUUGCUUAUGUUCACUACAUACUAUAUAGGACAUACUAAAGCUGAUGGGAAGCUCGAUAUUAGCUAAUUAAAGCGGCAAGUACCUCGGUUCGGGGAUACAUUACUUUUUUCGAAAUUCCAACUAUCGCACACUUUUGUUUUCUGGAUUAUUACGUCAUCAUUGCAAGAGCUACGACGUUGCUAUUCAACCCAGCUGUUCCUAAGGCAUGUAAGUCGGCUUGUGUAGGGUCAGAUUCUGCAUAUCGCUGUUUGUUUUUGCUUACCGUGGUGCUAAAUCGUUCGAAAAUACGUGUCGUGCGAAGUUCCAUUGUUUACUCUAUUUAAUAUAAGAUGACUGCCUUCUAUGGAGUUCGCAGAAGAUUCUUCUUCACUGGAUGUACUACACUACUUUUUUGUGUAGGAUGGAGCAUUUAUCUCAUUGGGCUUAUCGUUCUUGCACUUCAAACUCAAAGAUCUGAUUGUGGACUUAGCCUAACGCCAUGGAUAUUGAUAUUAUUUGCAGCUGGAGCACCCUGCUCAUUUGUUGCCCAGCUAUGCGAUUAUGGUGUCUCUAUACAUCCCGUGAUACAAUUCUUCUCAACAUUAUUAGGUGUGUUGUUUAACGUUUCAAUUGGUGCUAUGUUGGUGGGAUAUUACACAGUUCCAGAAUUUAAUGGAACUUUUGCUAGAUGCAUAAUCACAGGGUCAGUUAUCUGCAUCCAUUGCUGGUGUAUCAAUCUUACUUUGUCGAUUUACAAAGAAAAUACUCUUGAACCAGACAAAAUCCCUUGCAAUCGAUUGUUUCAUGGAUGUGCAAGAAAACUUGCUAUCAUACCGAGCAUUCUAUUGAUAUUCGGGGGCGUACUGGUGUUAUUAUAUUCACCUGCAUUAGGAGAUAUUUGGAUUAGUCGUCGAUUUUUUUGGCUGCAUUUAUUUUUUGGCUUGUCGACUGUGAUCCUCAUCUUGUCUCAUGCUGGAUCAUGGGGUGUUACGAGCAUUGUUAUAGGAUUAGUCAGUUCAUACAUGGUUACAACAUACACAGUAUGUAUGGGAUAUGUCUUCUUUGUCUGUCUGAAUUACUUAUUGUUUUCGAGUCAAUUUGAAUCACCAAGCAUGUUCCUGAUGUUUACUGGCUCUCUUUUGUCUAUCUUUGCGAUGGUAUUUGUUCUUUUACUGUGGCCAUACUAUACAAAAUAUGAAUUGGAUACAGACAACAAGACACAAGACACUGAUGCCAUAUGCAUUCUUGCACUAGAACAAAACACAAGCAAAAGUAAUUAGUUUGGUCAACUUUUUUAUGGCCUCUUACAUAGUCUUUAUAAUAAUUAUUACACAUGCAUAUCAUAAUUAUUUGUGCACGUAGUAUGUUUAUUCAUUAUCGUAUAAUAUCAUAAUUAUACCAUCUUGUGUGCGUCCUUUUGUGGUGUCUACAUGAGUCAACAGUGAAAGACUUUCCACUUGUCA